AUUGAACGCUGGCGUCAGUCCUAACACAUGCAAGUCGAGCGAGCGUCGGGCGGGUGAGUAAUGUCUCGGAAACUGCCUGCUGGUGGGGGAUACCUACUGUCAACGGUAGCUAAUACCGCCUACCAUCAGAUGUUCCCAGAUGGGAUUGGCUAGUAGGUGGGGUAACGGCUCACCUAGGCGACGAUCCCUAGCUGUGCUGAGAGGAUGACCAGCCAAACUGGAAUGUAGACACGGUUCAGAGUACGACGUGCGGCAGCAGUGGGGAAUAUUGCACAAUGGGCGAAAGCCUGAUGCAGACAUGCAGCGUGGGUGAAGAGGGUCUUCGUGUUGCAAAGCACUUUCCGCGGGGAGGCGGUAACCGAAGAAGAAGCAACGGCUAACUCCGUGCCAGCAGCCGCGGUAAUAC
rnacentral:rRNA from 1 species